UUUCCGAAUCCGCCUAUACCUG
rnacentral:miRNA from 1 species